CUUGGUCAUUUAGAGGAAGUAAAAGUCGUAACAAGGUCUCCGUUGGUGAACCAGCGGAGGGAUCAUUACCGAGUUUACAACUCCCAAACCCCUGUGAACAUACCAAUUGUUGCCUCGGCGGAUCAGCCCGCUCCCGGUAAAACGGAACGGCCCGCCAGAGGACCCCUAAACUCUGUUUCUAUAUGUAACUUCUGAGUAAAACCAUAAAUAAAUCAAAACUUUCAACAACGGAUCUCUUGGUUCUGGCAUCGAUGAAGAACGCAGCAAAAUGCGAUAAGUAAUGUGAAUUGCAGAAUUCAGUGAAUCAUCGAAUCUUUGAACGCACAUUGCGCCCGCCAGUAUUCUGGCGGGCAUGCCUGUUCGAGCGUCAUUUCAACCCUCAAGCCCCCGGGUUUGAUGUUGGGGAUCGGCGAGCCUCACGGCAAGCCGGCCCCGAAAUACAGUGGCGGUCUCGCUGCAGCUUCCAUUGCGUAGUAGUAAAACCCUCGCAACUGGUACGCGGCGCGGCCAAGCCGUUAAACCCCCAACUUCUGAAUGUUGACCUCGGAUCAGGUAGGAAUACCCGCUGAACUUAAGCAUAUCAAUAAGCGGAGGA
rnacentral:rRNA from 1 species